UACGUAGGGGGCAAGCGUUGUCCGGAUUUAUUGGGCGUAAAGAGCGUGUAGGCGGCCGUACAGGUCAGCUGUGAAAACUCGAGGCUCAACCUCGAGACGUCGGUUGAAACCGUACGGCUAGAGUCCGGAAGAGGAGAGUGGAAUUCCCGGUGUAGCGGUGAAAUGCGCAGAUAUCAGGAAGAACACCCGUGGCGAAGGCGGCUCUCUGGGACGGUACUGACGCUGAGACGCGAAAGCGUGGGGAGCGAACGGG
rnacentral:rRNA from 1 species